AAUCUCACUCACACUCAAUGAGUGGAGGUUCAAUCUGAGCUUCUCUUGAGUGUUAAUGCUGUUUUUGAAUAGCUGGAGGGCUAGCUGUGUCAUAACUUACUCGGUGACUACUCACCCACUCAAGAGAAGCUCAGAUUGAACCUCCACUCAUUGAGUGUGAGUGAGC